GACGAACCGAGCGAACGUUGUUCGGAAUCACUGGGCUUAAAGGGCGCGUAGGCGGGCUGUCAAGUUUGGGGUGAAAUCCCGCGGCUCAACCGUGGAACUGCCUCAAAUACUGACGGUCUCGAGGGAGAUAGGGGCGAGCGGCACUAAUGGUGGAGCGGUGAAAUGCGUUGAUAUCAUUAGGAACUCCGGUGGCGAAGGCGGCUCGCUGGAUCUCUUCUGACGCUGAGGCGCGAAAGCUAGGGGAGCAAACGGG
rnacentral:rRNA from 1 species